rnacentral:rRNA from 1 species
AUGAAGCCAAAGCAGUGGCUUUCAAAAAUUGUUAUUGAGACUGGAAUCAUACACAUCAUGGAUAACUUACCAGAAGGGUUGAAGAAAGUUGUCAUGCCACUGAGGUUUUCUAUCAAUUUACAGCAGGGGAUCUACAAUACGAAUGAGAUAAACAAGAAGUUUGAAUACAAGAACCGCCUUGACAAGAAAGAUUUGGUCAUGCUGCUAGUGCUUGAGUGCGAUAAUGUAAACGGCCACGAAGGAGGCAGGCAUUAUUGGGUCUUCUGCUUCUCCAAAAGGACUGACAUUUCGAAGUCCUUGAUUCAAACAGGAAGCUAG